GCAGUAGUAGUUUAGUGGUAGAAUUCUCACCUCCCGCGCAGGAGAUCAGGGUUCGAUUCCCGGCCAAUGCA
rnacentral:tRNA from 1 species